rnacentral:lncRNA from 1 species
AAAGUUUGUUCGAAAUACGUCACACAUGACGAAUCGCAAUUCGAUUGUGUUUCUCGUUGUGAUCGGACGUGCUUUUCUUUCGCUCUUCGAUUUGCGGUUUAAAGACUUUUACAGAGAAGAUUGAAGAUUUUUUAGGUAAGUCUUAGUCCGUAUUGAUACUAGACGUAAGAAUUUAUUUAAUAUUACUUGGAGAAUCGGUCCCAGAAGACAUCUCGGCACAUCGUUCCAUGGUCGACCGUUUGCGCUUCGGAUUCGAAUCUUUUAGAUUUAAAAAGGCGGUUGCGGUGAGCAGUUUGCUUUUACUCGAAAGAAUUUAAGCAUUAAUUUAAGCUUUUCUUUUCACUGGACUAAUUGCAAAUUUUCUUUUUUACAGGAUGAAGACGUUGGUGCUUUGUUGGAGGCGGUUCCGGCGGAGGCAGGCGGUGGCGCCGGAAGGAGAGAGUUCCUCGGACGACGUUGGAGGAGCGGGGGCUCCACGAGCGACACGCAGCGGGUGAAGAAGACUUUCGCCAAGUGCGCGUGGCGUGGCAUCCUCCCGGAGUCGGGAUGAUGCGACGCUACACCCUGGGUCCAGUGCGCUUGGCCGAGGUCUUCGGGGGUCAUCCGGCCACAGACCUUGCUGUGGAGGAUGUCGAAAGUGACAGCUCGUCCGCGACGGCGACGCCACCCCCUUGCCGAAGUGGGAACGGGGAGGAGUCGGAGGAGAGAGUCCCCGAAGUUGAGGGACCGUGCUGUCCGUGGUUUUGUUGCUGCGGUUACCUUGGCCUAGGCGGUGAUCUUCUUCGAUUUCCUCUUCUUCACCCCGGUUGCGACUUUCUUACCGGAUUCGACACUUUUCACCCGGACAUGACACCUUUUAACGGACGUGACCUCUCGUACCCGGACGUGACCCACGGACUUGACACGUUUCUUCACCGGACGCGACAUUCGGCCGACCUUUCUUCCCAAAUAGCUGUUAUGAGGAUUGAGCUUCCGGUUAGGGUUCGUUAGGUUAGCCUAGGCUAGAUCAGGUUCUACGCUCUUCUCAUAACACUGUUCGGGAAGAAAGACUGUCUGAUUAAGGUAAUAAUCUUGACCUUAGGUAAUAAAUGAAUUAACUUCUCGUUUUUUCACAACAGGUCCGUCGAAAAGACACCUUGCGACGAACUAUCUCUAAAGUCAUUUACAGUCCAAUGAGACGAGACAAGCUUCGGGACCAGCUUAGGCGAACUAAGACCAAACGUGAAUCCACUUUCUGAGUCCACAGUGAACUGAACUUCCCGCCACAACUCAAUCCUUUUAUAGGAUUGAAGCAGAAUUGGAUUCCACCAAUCAGCGCUUAGCAGUUCUACAAGACGUCCGCCGAUGGUGUGAUGCCUCUCAACCAAUCAGCGGUCGAGUCUUCAAAAGUGGUCCGAUUGCUGUUCCUAUGGCGACAACCGUCGUUCGUCGAACAAUUGGAAAAGCGCGGGAAAACCGUGCGCCAGACGAUUUUUAUCCCGACAAUCUCCCUCCCCAACUUUACCACGAAGAGGACCAAGUGGCCAUUUAUCGUACAAGUGAAUAUUUUCCGAUGACAUGCCGAAGAUGUUCUUCGAUCACACACAUACACACACGCACAGACAUAACACUACUGUACACGAAGAUAUAUACAGUUUAACCUUUACUCGAAUUCUCGCACUCACGCACUUACACGUCAAGCGCCUCGUUCUGUGUAAUUCGACACAAUGAAACAACCCGAACACACGCUUCCCACAAAUCCAACCCCUGGGUCCUCGUCCCGGGAAGUGGAAACGCCAAUUUUAAAGAUUAAAAGACUUUAAAUUGGCGGCCGAAGGGGCUCUGGUAAUCACACAUCUUGCAUCGAUUAAAUGGAAUUUCAGACAUUAGCAUCAAUAAUCGUUCGGUGAUGAAUUGGGAAGGAGAAGAAUCCUGUACCAAGCAAAUUGCAAGGAAUAAUUUGUUGUAUAUGAUUUUUUUUUAAAUACGAAAAUAAAUUUUUACUUCAUAUUUGUUUA